GGGGGGGGCAAGCGUUUGUUCGGAAUUACUGGGCGUAAAGGGCGCGCAGGCGGCCUGGCCAGUCCUACGUGAAAUCCCACAGCUCAACUGUGGAACUGCGUGGGAUACUGCCAAGCUUGAGUCCGGGAGAGGAGAGUGGAAUUCCCAGUGUAGCGGUGAAAUGCGUAGAUAUUGGGAGGAACACCGGUGGCGAAGGCGGCUCUCUGGACCGGCACUGACGCUGAGGCGCGAAAGCUAGGGGAGCAAACGGGGGAUUAGAUACCCCGGUAGUCCUAGCCCUAAACGAUGAGCACUUGGUGUGGCGGGUAUCGACCCCCUGCCGUGCCGAAGCUAACGCAUUAAGUGCUCCGCCUGGGGAGUACGUCGCAAGGCUG
rnacentral:rRNA from 1 species